rnacentral:rRNA from 1 species
CCCUUAGAUGUCCUGGGCUGCACGCGCGCUACACUGAUGCAUUCAACAAGUUCUACCUUGGCCGAGAGGCCUGGGAAAUCUUUCAAAUAUGUAUCGUGAUAGGGAUAGAUUAUUGCAAUUAUUAAUCUUGAACGAGGAAUUCCUAGUAAAUGCAGAUCAUCAUUCUGCGUUGAUUACGUCCCUGCCCUUUGUACACACCGCCCGUCGCACCUACCGAUUGAAUGAUCCGGUGAAGCCUCGGGAUUGUGCCCAGAGAACUUUAUUGUGAUUUGGGUGUGAGAACUUGUCUAAACCUUAUCAUUUAGAGGAAGGUGAAGUCGUAACA